rnacentral:lncRNA from 1 species
GUGACCAGGUCUCACGUGGUGACCUCCAGGAUCCCUGGAAGAAGAAAGUCCUGACCAUCAAGGCUUGUGGGACAAGACACUAUUCAAAGGAAUGGGAGAAGCACUGAUCCAGAGGUUCCAACACUGUGAUCUGCAACGAACUGGGCUUCAGUGAUCAACAGUCUCCUCAAGACUUAAUCUGUCGGGAAUUUUAUGUGCCCAUGGUCGGCUUCAUCUGUCUUCCAGACAGAGUGAUAAAAAGUGGAAUCACAGCUAAUGGAGUCCCAUGCAGGUUGCUCUGCUCACGGGAGGACAUUAGGAGGAGAGUGGAUCACUUAAUCUUUCAUCAAGGGUUUUGCUGGUUUCAUAUAACUACAACAGUUAUGUGUAUGAAUCUUGAGAAGCCAAACUGGAGAAAAAAAUAUCCAAUCUUGUUCAUCCAUGUUGUAACAUGAAGAAAUAUACUGCCAUUUUUUUUUUAUGGACAGAUAAUAUUCCACUGUAUGGAUGCACCACAUUUUGCAUAUCCAUUAAUCAGUUGAUGCAUAUUUGGGUCGUUUCCAAUUUUUACUACUGUAAGUCAUGCCACUCUAAACAUUCAGGUACAGGUUUUAUAGACAUAUGUUUGCCUUUC